GCAGUCGAACGCUUCUUUUUCCACCGGAGCUUGCUCCACCGGAAAAAGAGGAGUGGCGAACGGGUGAGUAACACGUGGGUAACCUGCCCAUCAGAAGGGGAUAACACUUGGAAACAGGUGCUAAUACCGUAUAACAAUCAAAACCGCAUGGUUUUGAUUUGAAAGGCGCUUUCGGGUGUCGCUGAUGGAUGGACCCGCGGUGCAUUAGCUAGUUGGUGAGGUAACGGCUCACCAAGGCCACGAUGCAUAGCCGACCUGAGAGGGUGAUCGGCCACAUUGGGACUGAGACACGGCCCAAACUCCUACGGGAGGCAGCAGUAGGGAAUCUUCGGCAAUGGACGAAAGUCUGACCGAGCAACGCCGCGUGAGUGAAGAAGGUUUUCGGAUCGUAAAACUCUGUUGUUAGAGAAGAACAAGGAUGAGAGUAACUGUUCAUCCCUUGACGGUAUCUAACCAGAAAGCCACGGCUAACUACGUGCCAGCAGCCGCGGUAAUACGUAGGUGGCAAGCGUUGUCCGGAUUUAUUGGGCGUAAAGCGAGCGCAGGCGGUUUCUUAAGUCUGAUGUGAAAGCCCCCGGCUCAACCGGGGAGGGUCAUUGGAAACUGGGAGACUUGAGUGCAGAAGAGGAGAGUGGAAUUCCAUGUGUAGCGGUGAAAUGCGUAGAUAUAUGGAGGAACACCAGUGGCGAAGGCGGCUCUCUGGUCUGUAACUGACGCUGAGGCUCGAAAGCGUGGGGAGCAAACAGGAUUAGAUACCCUGGUAGUCCACGCCGUAAACGAUGAGUGCUAAGUGUUGGAGGGUUUCCGCCCUUCAGUGCUGCAGCUAACGCAUUAAGCACUCCGCCUGGGGAGUACGACCGCAAGGUUGAAACUCAAAGGAAUUGACGGGGGCCCGCACAAGCGGUGGAGCAUGUGGUUUAAUUCGAAGCAACGCGAAGAACCUUACCAGGUCUUGACAUCCUUUGACCACUCUAGAGAUAGAGCUUCCCCUUCGGGGGCAAAGUGACAGGUGGUGCAUGGUUGUCGUCAGCUCGUGUCGUGAGAUGUUGGGUUAAGUCCCGCAACGAGCGCAACCCUUAUUGUUAGUUGCCAUCAUUC
rnacentral:rRNA from 1 species